AAAGACCUGAACACAAAGACCUUUUCAGGCAUCUCAGGAAACUACUCUACCAGGAGGUUUUGAGAUGAAGGUCCUCCAAGUACAGCUGCUUCUUCUUGUUCUGUAUCAUGUGUCUCUUGGAGGUUGGCUGGAAAGUGACAUUGCAGGAGGUCACAAUGCGAGCAAGAAGUACUGGACGUGGAUGGUGGCCGUGUUCGUGGAGGAACCCAACGCACAUACACCGAAGAACGAAGGAGCAUCUGUGAAGUUUCAAUGCGGAGGAUCUCUCAUCACCCCCGAGUGGGUGCUCACAGCCGCG
rnacentral:lncRNA from 1 species